ensembl:lncRNA
GGAACCUCGGACGCUAGCCUUCCGAGUUGCUUUUGACGCCAUUCCCGGUCUCUGAGCACUUAUAGCGUUCCUGUUCGUCUUUGUGAUUGUGCCAUGAGUCAUGACAUUGGCUAGUCGUUGUUUAUUGUUAGCUACAUAAGCCCCUUUAGCAUACCUGCCCGAAAACAAACAACAAACUUUACAUUGUAUUGCACCAACACCAUUCAACAACUCCCGCUAGUUUUCCGCUAAGUCAUGUGACAUGUCGCAUAGGGGGGUUAUCACCUGCAUUUCUCACGUUUUGAUCCCAGAAUGCAUCCAACGCAACCUGAACGCAACGCAUGCUUGUCCGAUGUUGGAGACUCUGAUACAGAGCAGCGCCAUCUACCGCUUGGGGGUCGUCAAAGGAUGCGAGAAAUGUGCCUUUUCCUUAGGGGGCUUUUAUUUUGCCUAUUAAAUUCGCGUAUAUAUAAGGUGAUGCACUUCCCGUCGACCUCUUCUGCUUCUACAACCGCGUGUCAUAAAGCUGUGGAGAUGAGCAGCCAAAGAGUUGGAGACGUUCCGUCUGAAGCUUGUACCGUUGAUCAAGCCCAUCUGCCAAAGAUGCAGACAUUUUGUGUGAAGCUCGUAACGUCGAUCCAGCUGGUCCACAGCCAAAGAUGCAGACAUUUUGUGUGAAGCCCGUAUCGUCGAUCCCGCUGGUCCACAGCCAAAGAUGCAGACAUUUUGUGUGAAGCCCGUAUCGUCGAUCCCGCUGGUCCACAGUCAAAGAUGCAGACAUUUUGUGUGAAGCUUGUAUCGUCGGUCCAGCUGGUCCACAGCCAAAGAUGCAGACAUUUUGUGUGAAGCCCGUAUCGUCGAUCCCGCUGGUCCACAGCCAAAGAUGCUGACAUUUUGUGUGAGGCUCGCAUCGUCGAUCCAGCUGUUCCACAGGUUGUUCGGACCUGGCAAUUGUAGAACAUCAUGCUGGUUCUACAGACACGGAAGGCACAAAGCACUGCAGACGGAAGAACCUACCAGUUCCUGAGGCAAGUUUUAUCCAGCCGGCAGAGGGUUGUCAUGGAGCUGAUUGUCAAAUACACAAUAUUUGUAUUUUGUACUGCAGAAACUGCAUUUUAGGGCUGGCUGUUUUCUGAACUUGACAUUGCCAAAUGUGAACAAUAAAAUGUUGUUGAAAAACGGGAAUUGUUUGGCUGUUAUGGUAAUAUUAUUUAACUUGAAUUAAUUUACAAUUAGGAGGUCAUCCAUACAGAAACUAUUCCAUCAUGGUCAUAUGCAUAUAUAUACUAUACAAAUAUAUUUAACUGUAAUAUUGAUAAUGCAUUA